GACGGAAGCCUGCUCCCAGCAAGCCCCAGCCGCGUCUCGUCUCCCUCUCCCUUGUCUCCCUCACACACGUUUCUCUCUCCCUCCUCUUCUUCCUUGCUGCGCUCCACCUCGCCCCAGGUGCUCGGCCGCUCAUCUCCCUGCUGCCGCGUCCCUGCGCCCGGCCUUCGUCCCCGUCGCGCCGAUCCGCGCUCGCCCAGGUCGCCCGCCGUCGCCCAGCUCGGUGCCUUCCCUGCUCCUCCAAGCCGGCGUCCUCUGCCCUCAUCUUCUUCCUCAGGUCCGACCGGUGCCCUCAUUCCCCUGGCUGGCGCUCGGCUUCCUCCUCCUGAAGUCCCUCCACGCGCCGAAUUUCGAGCUCCAUUCAUGCCGGCCGAGGUCCUUCCCAUGGCGCCCCUCCCUGCUCCCGUGCACGUGCCCCCCUGGUGGUCGGAGCUCGCCAACGCCAGUUGUUCCUCCACACACACCUCCUGCUCCCCUCGCCAUGGCAUGGAUGACCGCUGUAUCUGCUCCUGUCGUGCUCAAGUCGUCACAGGUUGGUGGGUUGUGCGCGCCUAGCGGUAAGUUAUCUGCUCCUGUCGGUAAUUUUGCAUCAUUAAUUAUUCUGUUAAGGAUCUGAAUUUAGGCUAGAGUAUCAGGUUCAUUUUGUGGGCAUGUGAUCAAAUGCCUACUGUGCUGACAUAUGCUAGUCUGGCCCCAUAAUUAAUAUACCAUUACUUUUUUGAAUGCUAAUUAGGACCGCAGCAGGUCUAAUCUGGCCCCAUAAUUAAUAUACCAUUACUCAGGAAAUAUUUUGGAGUAAAUGCAGAGCUAACUUGAAAUGGUUGUUAUAACUUAAAAAUUAUAUAAAUGGUGAAUUGAACAUUAUUAUGUGUUCUACAGUAGUCUAAUCUGCUGAUGUGUCAAUCAAGCUUAUUGUAUUAAGUUGUAUAUUUACUAUCUAGCUCAUUAUUCUGCUGUUGUUACAUAUUGAUAUAUUGUUUGUUACAUGCGGAGUUUGAAGGAGUUUAAAACACAAGCAACCACAUUGGCAUCGCUUCAGCAUCCCAAUUUAUGUAAACUGAUCGGCUAUUAUGCAAAAGAAGAUUCUAAUGAAAGGAUGUUGGUCUAUGAACGGCUUUAUCAUGGAAGCUUAGAUAAGCUACUCUUUGGAAGAUCAGAUGGUCAUUUCAUGGACUGGUCUAAACGUUUGAAGGUUGCCCUGGGUGCUGCCAGAGGUCUAGCUUUCUUGCAUGAUGAAGGACCCUUUCAGGCCAUGUACAACGAGUUCUCAACUUUGAACAUCCAAAUAGAUAAAGGUUUCACUGCUAAGCUUUCAGGAUAUGGUUGUGUUGGCUUCAAUACCGAGGAGAUAUCUAAUGCACCUGUGCAAACCAUUCGGUGGAGACCUUGGAGAAGGGUUUACUCACUCAGUUUGUCUAUUGCUGCAACAAGUCGGGGCUGGACCGUUCCAAAGUAAAUGUAAAUGGAGGCACGAUUGCCCUUGGACACCCUUUGGGUGCAACAGGUGCCCGGUGCGUGGCUACUCUUCUAAAUGAAAUGAAGUGCCGGGGCAGAGACUGCAGAUUUGGUGUUGUCACCAUGUGUAUCGGAUCUGGAAUGGGGGCAGCAGCUGUGUUCGAGCUAUGUUCGGCCCGGCUGGAGGUAUCGACCAUCACUCGUCACUGUAACCCGAUGGUGAUCGACGACCGUGAGCUUCCAUGUUAUUGCGUUCUGAUACUUGAGACUUUUAUUAUAACUAUGUAUGAGAUAUUGUCUCUUAUUAGUACUGGAUGAUGAGAUGUGUCUUAUUAUGACUAUGGAUGAGACUUUUGUGAUGUAAUUGAUGAGACUAUGGAUGAGACUUUUGUGAUGUAAUUGAUGAGACUAUGAAUUUAAAUAUUGUUAUGUG